CUUCAGGUUCCCUCUCUGGUUUCCCUGCAUGGAAGAAGCCGAGUGGACUGUCCACUGUGCUCAGGCUCUGAAUCCGCAAAACAAGUUUGUGGAGAGAAACAUGACCAAAACUGGGAAGUAGGUGGAAACCUUUGGCGAUCUGUGAAGUUUAUAGAUACAAAUCUGCUUAUAUAUUUCAAUUUUUGACAUCAGUGUUAUUCUUUUCCACUUCUCUGUCUUUGUUGUUUUUGCUCAUCACUUGUCUUGAGCUUUGGGAAUUACAUAGGCUGUCAAGAUGUGUGGUUAAAGUAUAAGGUAUUAUUGUGUUUUCAGUGCAACAAUGUUCUAAUUUAGUUUUUAUUAAAAACAUGCAAGCAAAUUUUGACCUAUUGUUUCCAUUGAGGUUUAAUGUCAAACUAAUUUUUGUGCAUUUGUAGUAUGUAUAUAUAACUCACUUUGUCAUGUUGGCUUUUAAUUUAAGUUCCUUUGAAUCUCAUCAGGUCUUUAAUGCUGAGUUAUUUGCAUGUAAGCUGUUUUUAUUUAGAAUUUCCUUCUGUUUUAUUAAUUAUCUAAUUUUAUUUCUUUAUUUUUAAUGCCUCCUAACUGCUAAAUGUUCUUAUUUUUAACAUGCGAUACUUAAAUGAAUUAAAUAUGCUUUUAGAUGGGAACUUUUUGUCAUGUAAAUCGCACAUUAAGGUUAUAGUUAUGAAUCAAAGCAAUAGUCAUUGGAGAAAAAGUAUUUUGUCCAAUUGAAUAAAAUGUGAAAAAGACAAGAGAGAAGUCAUUGAUUGUUUACUCAGUUGAUUUUAAAGGUGUUUUCCAUACAGUGUUUAUUCAGAGUCCUACUUUAUGGAGGCUCAAGCAUAUUUAUUCAGAGAGAAAUAUACAGGCUUUAUAUAGAAAACAGAACUACUAACAAAAAUAAUCAUCUUUUUUAUAGCAGCAAAAAAGAAGAAACUAAAAAGAGACAUAUUUACAUCUUACCAGUGAACAAGGCAUAAUAUAUGUAUAUAUUUAUUAAUUACACAGCAUAUAACUGCUUUCCCGUUUUUUAAAUAUCCGUCUUGAUUUAAUCUCUAUUAAAAUCAGAGUAUAUAGGCAUCUUUCUCCUUUAACCAUCGUUAACCACACAAAGCACUCGAGGUACAGCCACACUCUUGAGUUUCGACAGGUUGCAGCGACUCGCUGCUCGCUGGAGUAACAGAAACAGCUUCACGGAGUCUCCACCACAUUCAUGCAACGAUCAGGAAAACCAACAUAGUGGCCGCUGAAAAAGUGCAGAAGCUAAACUCGCGAGUGGCUCGGCCCGAAAAAAAACAACAACAAAAAAACAAAAGACGAGAGAACAAGUACAAACAUUUUUUUUUUUUUUUUACACCAAAACAGAGACCUGUAUUUCAGUAUUGCAGCGGACGUUUCCAGAGUUAAGUGUAAACCAGGCGUUUGCAAAAAAAAAAAAAAAAAACAGAACAAGAACCAAAAAC